rnacentral:rRNA from 1 species
AACAGGAUUAGAUACCCUGGUAGUCCACGCCGUAAACGAUGAGUGCUAGGUGUUGGGGGUUUCCGCCCUCUGUGCCGAAGGUAACCCAAUAAGCACUCCGCCUGGGGAGUACGGCCGCAAGGCUGAAACUCAAAGGAAUUGACGGGGGCCCGCACAAGCGGUGGAGCAUGUGGUUUAAUUCGAAGCAACGCGAAGAACCUUACCAGGUCUUGACAUCCCGCUGAUCGGUGUAGAGAUAUGCCUUUCCUUCGGGACAGCGGUGACAGGUGGUGCAUGGUUGUCGUCAGCUCGUGUCGUGAGAUGUUGGGUUCAGUCACGCAACGAGCGCAACCCUUGUCGUCAGUUGCCAGCACGUAGAGGUGGGCACUCUGGCGAGACGGCCGGUGAAAGCCGGAGGAAGGUGGGGAUGACGUCAAAUCAUCAUGCCCCUUAUGUCCUGGGCUACACACGUGCUACAAUGGCCGGUACAACGGGUAGCGAACCCGCGAGGGGGAGCCAAUCCAAAAAACCGGUCUCAGUUCGGAUCGCAGGCUGCAACUCGCCUGCGUGAAGCUGGAAUCGCUAGUAAUCGCGGAUCAGCAUGCCGCAGUGAAUCCGUUCCCGGGCCUUGUACACACCGCCCGUCACACCACGAGAGUCUGCAACACCCGAAGUCGGUGAGGUAACCUUCGGGAACCAGCCGCCGAAGGUGGGGCAGAUGAUUGGGGUGAAGUCGUAACAAGGUAACC